rnacentral:rRNA from 1 species
AGAAUCAACGCUGGCGGCGUGCCUAACACAUGCAAGUCGAGCGCGAAAGGGGAGCAAUCCCCAAGUAGAGCGGCGAACGGGUGAGUAACGCGUGGGUAAUCUGCCUCCGAGUGGGGGAACAACAUCGGGAAACUGGUGCUAAUACCGCAUAACAUCGUCGGGUCUUCGGAUCUGACGAUCAAAGCCGGGGACCGCAAGGCCUGGCGCUUGGAGAGGAGCCCGCGUCCGAUUAGCUAGUUGGUGGGGUAAUGGCCUACCAAGGCUUCGAUCGGUA